GGCUGUCUUCGUGGAAGCAAUUCAGUAGCAGAGCUUCCCAAAUCAUUCCUCCUGUUCAGGUGUUCCAUUGCCUAAAGAGGAGAACAUUUCUGCUCCCUUGAUCUCCAGCUCCCCAGUGAAGGCAGCCCGGGAGUAUGAAGAUCCCCCUAGUGAAGAGGAAGAUAAAAUAAAAGAAGAACCUUUAACCAUCUCUGAACUAGUGUACAACCCAAGUGCCAGCCUGCUCCCCACCCCUGUGGACGAGGAUGAGAUUGACAUGCUCUUUGACUGUCCUUCUAGGCUUGAGUUGGAAAGAGAAGACACAGAUUCAUUUGAGGAUCUGGAAGCAGAUGAAAACGCCUUUUUGAUUGCUGAAGAAGAGGAGCUGAAGGAGGCUCGCCGUGCUUUGUCGUGGAGCUAUGACAUUCUGACUGGCCAUAUUCGGGUGAACCCACUGGUCAAGAGUUUUUCCAGGCUCCUUGUGGUGGGCCUGGGACUGCUGCUCUUUGUAUUUCCCCUGCUCCUCCUCCUUUUGGAGUCAGGUAUUGAUCUCUCCUUCUUAUGCGAAAUCCGCCAGACACCAGAGUUUGAGCAGUUUCACUAUGAAUACUACUGUCCCCUCAAG
rnacentral:sRNA from 1 species